AGGGAACAGAGCAGAAGGAGUCAGACAGGCUGGUUUCCAUGGCCUUGGGGCCGGUCACUUCCUUCUGUGAUUCCCAUGUUCCUCAUUUGAAGCGUGAAGAGAGUCCCCUUGGCCUUAAAAGGCACAUCUUCUCCGUUCAUUCAUUCAUUCACUCAUUCAUAGAAGAUGGCGUUUCCUAAGGAAUAGAUUGCUCUGUAUAGCGUCUAUCUUUGGGGGGGGGGCGUAAAAUGGGGUCAUUUGGUAGACAUAUUAUUUGCUCAGCAAACAUUUACUUGCCUAGCCCUCCCCACUUGGAGAGGGAUAGAAUUUCCUCACUCUGUUGAUAUUAGAUUUAGCCAUGUGACUUGCUGGAGACAGAAUACAGGCGGAAGCGGCAGCAGCCAGCUCCGGAGUCGCUGAGCCUCCCCUUUCCCACCUCUUGAGCAAUUGUCCUUGGCCAUGAGAAUACCAGAUAGCGGGAGUCCUUCAGCCGGACAAAGAAGGAGCAGACAAGGGAGACAGCUGUGUGUGACCCAAAGCUCGGAGGCCAGCCCGACCCAGCUAACCCACGGUGCUGAGAUUGAAUUUAGGGGCCUUGCACGUCUGGUCAAUCACUCCAGGACUGAUCUCCAUCCCUGUCUCUGGUUCUUGUAGUUCGCCGGUCUCACUGAGAAGCACAGGAACUGUCUACCCUGUGCUGUGAGGACAGGAACUCUUAUUGGAGCUCAUCAAAUAGUCUGCAGGGUCCCGAGUGGCCUUUCUGCCUCUGCCCUGUCCUCUCAGUGAUGGCAGCCUUGAAACUGUCUUCUGAGUUAUGGCAGCUACGCCCACAGGACUGGGUGACCCAGUGGGGCCUGGAGGUGGGGGACCACCACUGUCUGUCCUUGGUCUGAGAGGUGACCACAGCGGCUAAGAUGACCACAGGGGAAAUGGAGCAGGAUCCGAUCAUACAGAAGAGAUCUUCCGAGUCCACGGGAGUGAUGGGAGAUUGGAUUGUAUGAUGCUUGGAAAGUUCUUAGCAUACCGCUUGUGUUGGGGAAGUGCUUAUGGUGGACCAUUGUUAUUAUUGUCAGCACUGGUCAUUAUUACAAUAUCCAUCACUUUUGUAAUUAUUGUCGUUGUCAUUGUCAUCAUCAUCAUCUUCACUAGGCAUGGCCAGGUAAGGCAGAGGUGACUAGCUGCCCCUCCCCCCACCCUGGAAAUUUCAUACCUUCUCUUUCAUAAAGUAGGAAGAGCUGCCCCAGACAGGAACUACAUUUCCCAUACUCCCAUGCAUCUGUGUGGGACCACAUGACUAUUUCUCAUUAGUGGACUGUGAACAGAAACAUAGGCACGGGAGACUGAGUUGAGUCCACCUUCUCUCUUCUCCCCUCCACCACCCACUAUGGAGAAUCAGAGGACUCUGGGGCUCCAGUAGGGAGUCUAGUUGUUCUGACCUCCAUUACCACAGUCCAAUUCUGCUUUUUCUUGAAUAUCGUGUAAAAGGAAUCAUACAAAUCACUUGUUUUUUUCUACAUUCAUAUUUUACGUUUUUGUAACUUUGUAUUUGUUCUCUGCUUUGCUAUUGUGCUGUAUUGCACUCUAUUGUAACCUGUCCCUUCCGUGUUCUUAUUGUUGGGGGUUUGUACUGUGUCCAGUGUUUGACUAUUAUAAGUAAAGCCACAACGGGUUAUCUGUGUA
rnacentral:sRNA from 1 species